rfam:[Eubacterium rectale] ATCC 33656 chromosome, complete genome.
UCUACCGUGAGGUAGAAUCUGAAGGAAGCUGUAAGCAAAUCUCUGGUACGACGAACAGAAAUCACAUAUAAGGCUAGGCUACGAGAGAUAAGUUGGCUUAAAGCAAGAAGAACAAAAAAGCAAGUAAAUGUAGAAAAUCAGGCAAUAAAGCUUCUGUC